GCGAGUCGAAUGUAGCAAUACAUGGCGAACUGCUCAGUAACACGUGGACAACCUGCCCUUAGGACGGGGAUAAACCCGGGAAACUGGGUAUAAUACCCGAUAGGUCUCGAUUGCUGGAAUGCAUCGAGAUUUAAAGCUCCGGCGCCUAAGGAUGGGUCUGCGGCCUAUCAGGUAGUAGUGGGUGUAGCGUACCUACUAGCCUACGACGGGUACGGGUUGUGAGAGCAAGAGCCCGGAGAUGGAUUCUGAGACACGAAUCCAGGCCCUACGGGGUGCAGCAGGCGCGAAAACUUUACAAUGCUGGCAACAGCGAUAAGGGAACCUCGAGUGCCAGGUUACAAAUCUGGCUGUCGAGAUGCCUAAAAAGCAUUUCAUAGCAAGGGCCGGGCAAGACCGGUGCCAGCCGCCGCGGUAACACCGGCGGCUCGAGUGGUAACCGUUAUUAUUGGGUCUAAAGGGUCUGUAGCCGGCCGGAUAAGUCUCUUGAGAAAUCUGGCAGCUUAACUGUCAGGCUUUCAGGAGAUACUGUCUGGCUCGAGGCCGGGAGAGGUGAGAGGUACUUCAGGGGUAGGGGUGAAAUCUUGUAAUCCUUGAAGGACCACCAGUGGCGAAGGCGUCUCACCAGAACGGACCUGACGGCAAGGGACGAAAGCUAGGGGCACGAACCGGAUUAGAUACCCGGGUAGUCCUAGCCGUAAACGAUACUCGCUAGGUGUCGGCCACGGUGCGACCGUUGUCGGUGCCGUAGGGAAGCCGUGAAGCGAGCCACCUGGGAAGUACGGCCGCAAGGCUGAAACUUAAAGGAAUUGGCGGGGGAGCACCACAACGGGUGGAGCUUGC
rnacentral:rRNA from 1 species